GGAGAAGCCGCCGGAGCCAGUAAAGUACUCCCUUGGUGGUCAAAUUCCGGAGGGCUAAAUGUGUGUGUGCAUGAAUGAUCACAAAUAACCCUACCUGCGGUGUUGUUCAUGUGGAUGGUGACAAGACCUACUGCUGGACAGAGUGAGUGGGACCUCUCCGCAGUUCCGUAGCUACCUCAUAUGGCUUAGGGCGGAUCCUGCCGUGGGAUUUAUACUGGCACACCGACACUAAGAGGGGCCUAAUUCUCCCUUGGGGGAGCAGCCAGAGAGGGCAACACAAGUGGGAAGUGUGCAAGGGACCUUGAGAGGGGGAAAGGGAGGAAACAGGUCAACCUCCCAGAGCAGCAAGAGGUCUUUUAGCACAGGUGCUGCCUUUGGACUUUCCAGUGCCUCAGCAUCAGCCUGGGGAUCACGUUCUCAUCAAAGAGGGGAAAGAAGGGAAACUCGAGCCAGCCCGGGAAGGACCCUACCUUGUGCUGCUAACCACUGAGACUGCUGUUCGUAAGGUUGGAAAGAGAUGGACACAUCACACAUGAGUCAAGCAAGCACCAUUAUCCUCAGAAUCAUGGGCCAUUGUUCCUGGAUCAAGCCCUACCAAAUUAAAGCUAAGGAAAGCUUAGUCUAUCUAUCUUUUCCUUUCCCUUCCUUACCCAGUGCUUAUAUCCAUUACUAUUCCUACCACUAGCAACUCUAACCCCACUUUAGAACGCUUCUGUGGUUUAGGAGCAGAGGUCACUGGAAAGGAUCCUAUGGGCUUCUUUAAGGUGGGCUUUGUUCUCCCUCCUCCACCUCCUAUGGCUGCCCCUUUCCCAAACCUACAAAAUCAAACUAUGACUCACCUCAUGCCAAAUGACAAAAGCAAGGUCCCGGUAGUAGAAAUAGGAGACCUAAGGCAAACCAUAGCCAUUAAAACAGGGUAUAAAAAUGUAAAUGCCUGGUUAAAAUUGAUUAAAUAUUCUGUCCACACGUUAAACAAAGGCAAUUUUUAUGCUUGUGCACAUGACAGGCCAGAAGCCCAGAUUGUCCCCUUUCCACUAGGGUGGCCCUCUAGUUGACUGGGCAUGGCCUGCAUGGCAGAUCUUUCCCAGGAUUAUUCAGCCUGGGGUAACAAGUCGUGCCAAGCUCUCUCUCUGCUACAUCCCGAAGUUCAACACCCUGCGGGUCAGCCCCCAAGGGCCAUCCAGCUUCCAUCUCCCAACACUAAGUUCACUUCGUGUCUCUCAGGACCGGGAGGAAACUUAGCGUUCCUUGGAGUCCUGAAGGGAUGCAGUGAGAUUAAGAAAUUUCAAGAGCUUACCAAUUAGCCCUUACUCAUCCCUGAGCAGAUGUGUAGUGGUAUUAUGAUGGACCUUUACUGGACACUCUGCCGAGUAACUGAAGUGGCACUUGCUUUAGUCCAGUUGGCUAUCCCUUUCACGCUGGCAUUUCAUCAACCAGAGAAAGGAAAAAUAAGAUAUCAUAAAGCAAAAGAAGCCCCUUAUGGGUCUUUUGAC
rnacentral:lncRNA from 1 species